CAAAUAGAUACCCCGGUAGUCCACGCCGUAAACGUUGGGCGCUAGAUGUGGGGGCCAUUCCACGGUUUCCGCGUCGUAGCUAACGCAUUAAGCGCCCCGCCUGGGGAAUACGGCCGCAAGGCUAAAACUCAAAGGAAUUGACGGGGGCCCGCACAAGCGGCGGAGCAUGCGGAUUAAUUCGAUGCAACGCGAAGAACCUUACCAAGGCUUGACAUAUACGAGAACACUGCAGAAAUGUAGGACUCUUUGGACACUCGUAUACAGGUGGUGCAUGGUUGUCGUCAGCUCGUGUCGUGAGAUGUUGGGUUAAGUCCCGCAACGAGCGCAACCCUCGUCGCAUGUUGCCAGCACGUAAAGGUGGGAACUCAUGUGAGACUGCCGGGGUCAACUCGGAGGAAGGUGGGGAUGACGUCAAAUCAUCAUGCCCCUUAUGUCUUGGGCCUCACGCAUGCUACAAUGGCCGGUACAAAGGGCUGCAAUACCGUAAGGUGGAGCGAAUCCCAAAAAGCCGGUCUCAGUUCGGA
rnacentral:rRNA from 1 species